CAGUAGCCGCGGGAACACGUAGGGGGCUAGCGUUGUUCGGAAUUACUGGGCGUAAAGCGCACGCAGGCGGCUCGAUAGAUUAGAAGUGAAAGCCUUGGGCUUAACCUGAGAAUUGCUUUUAAGACUGUCGAGCUAGAAUCCAGAAGAGGGUAGUGGAAUUCCGAGUGUAGAGGUGAAAUUCGUAGAUAUUCGGAAGAACACCAGUGGCGAAGGCGACUACCUGGUCUGGCAUUGACGCUCAUGUGCGAAAGCGUGGGGAGCAAACAGGAUUAGAUACCCCCGUAGUCCCUGUCUCUUAUAC
rnacentral:rRNA from 1 species